UUCCCUUUGUUUUCUUAACCAUUGUACCUGAGAAAUACAAAACUUGGAAAGGGAUAAGUCGAUUGACUUUGCAAAUGUAAACUUCAAGAAGGAACGUAAAAAACCACAAUUCUCAAUCUUUUCAUCAUGUGAAAAUUACAAGACAAGUAAAAUUCAAUAAUCAAAGUUAUUCUAGAAUGAGAGGGUUCUCUAAUCAAACCUUUCAACACC
rnacentral:lncRNA from 1 species